GGGACACAGGCAUGGGUGAACUGGGUGGCCACCUGGGACCUGGACAGAAAGGAGGCCCGAAAAUGAAAAAAAAAAAAUUACAAUUGCAAAAAAAAGUUUUAAUAUUGAGCAUAUAUGAGACUGGCAAUGUUAUCAAUUGAGAAUGAACUAUUUAAAGACAUCGAUACUGCAGAUGUGAUAAAGACUUUUGCAACAAAAAAUGAAGCAGAG